AGAUGUGAGGGCAAUCUGGCUGCAACAUCUGUUACUGCAUAGAUCACCAGGGUUGAUUCGGCUGAUCUAACCGGCUGGGCGGGUGUUCCCUUCCUCUCUUAUCACUCUAUGUGCAUCCCUCCUGAAGCCGCUCAUUCAGUCGAAGAGAACGACCUUCCCCGUAAGAAGAGGACCAUUCUUUGGUCAAGGGUAUCUGAAUAGCUGUGCUCCACAGCUAGAACCUCCAAACAAGCUCUCAAAAGUCCAGGCACAGACUUCCCCAAGUCAAAUGCCCACUCAUGCCCCAGAGUCUCUU
rnacentral:snRNA from 1 species